GAGUUUGAUCGUGGCUCAGAUUGAACGCUGGCGGUAUGCUUAACACAUGCAAGUCGAACGGUAACAGGAGAGAGCUUGCUCUUUUGCUGACGAGUGGCGGACGGGUGAGUAAUGCGUAGGAAUCUGCCUAGUAGUGGGGGACAACGUGUGGAAACGCACGCUAAUACCGCAUACGCCCUACGGGGGAAAGCGGGGAUCUUCGGACCUCGCGCUAUUAGAUGAGCCUACGUUAGAUUAGCUAGUUGGUGGGGUAAAGGCCUACCAAGGCGACGAUCUAUAGCUGGUCUGAGAGGAUGAUCAGCCACACUGGGACUGAGACACGGCCCAGACUCCUACGGGAGGCAGCAGUGGGGAAUAUUGGACAAUGGGCGAAAGCCUGAUCCAGCAAUACCGCGUGUGUGAAGAAGGCCUGAGGGUUGUAAAGCACUUUCAAUUGUGAAGAAAUAUUUAAGGUUAAUAACCUUAAAUUUUGACGUUAACUUUAGAAGAAGCACCGGCUAACUCCGUGCCAGCCGCCGCGGUAAG
rnacentral:rRNA from 1 species